UAUUAAGUAACUAAUUAGUGGUGGCCUCUUAAGCCUUAAAUGGUUUCCCCUUAAUUA
rnacentral:tRNA from 1 species